rnacentral:rRNA from 1 species
GACGAACGCUGGCGGCGUGCUUAACACAUGCAAGUCGAACGGUAAGGCUCCAGCUUGCUGGGGUACACGAGUGGCGAACGGGUGAGUAACACGUUGGUGACCUGCCCUGCACUUCGGGAUAAGCCUGGGAAACUGGGUCUAAUACCGGAUAGGACCGCACCGUGAGGGUGUGGUGGAAAGUUUUUUCGGUGUGGGAUGGGCCCGCGGCCUAUCAGCUUGUUGGUGGGGUAAUGGCCUACCAAGGCGGCGACGGGUAGCCGGCCUGAGGGGGUGGACGGCCCAAUGGGGACGGGGACACGGCCCAGCCCCCUAGGGGGGGCAGGAGGGGGGAAUAUGGCCAAAGGGGCGGAGGCCUGUUGCAGGGGCGCCGGGUGGGGGAUGACGGCUUUGGGGUUGUAAACCCCUUCCCCCACCGACGAGGGGUUUCGGACGGGAGAUGGGAAAGAAGCACCGGCUAACCACGG